rnacentral:rRNA from 1 species
UACGUAGGGUGCGAGCGUUGCCCGGAUUUAUUGGGCGUAAAGGGCGCGCAGGCGGCCACGCACGUCCGUUGUGAAAUCGCCCGGCUCAACUGGGCGGGGUCAGCGGAUACGGCGCGGCUGGAGCAAGCUAGGGGGCAAUGGAACUCCCGGUGUAGUGGUGGAAUGCGUAGAUAUCGGGAAGAACACCAGUGGCGAAGGCGGUUGCCUGGAGCUUUGCUGACGCUGAGGCGCGAAAGCGUGGGGAGCGAACAGG